rnacentral:rRNA from 1 species
GACGAACGCUGGCGGCGUGCUUAACACAUGCAAGUCGUACGGUAAGGCCCUUUCGGGGGUACACGCGUGGCGAACGGGCGAGUAACACGUGCGUAACCUGCCCACAACUUUGGGAGAACGCACGUCAACUGGCUCUAAUACUUGAUAGGUGGUCCCUCCUCAUGCAUGGGGUUGGAAAGAUCCUGGGGUUGUGGAGGGACUGGCGGCCUAUCAGGUUGUUGGUGGGGUAGUUGCCUACCAACGAGGCUGCGGGUAGGCGGCCUGGGGGGGUGAGCGGCCAAAAUGGGGAUGGGGUACGGCCCAGGCCUCUACGGGGGGGAAGAGGGGGGAAAUUUGGACAAAGGGGGCAAGCCCGAAGGAGCAACGGCGCGGGGGGGAAGACGGCCUUCGGGUUGUAAACCGGUUUCAGCAGGGACGAAGCUUUUUGUGACGGUACCUGGAGAAGAAGCACCGGCUAACUACGUG